GUGGGGAAUAUUGGACAAUGGGCGAAAGCCUGAUCCAGCCAUGCCGCGUGUGUGAAGAAGGUCUUCGGAUUGUAAAGCACUUUAAGUUGGGAGGAAGGGCAUUAACCUAAUACGUUAGUGUUUUGACGUUACCGACAGAAUAAGCACCGGCUAACUUCGUGCCAGCAGCCGCGGUAAUACGAAGGGUGCAAGCGUUAAUCGGAAUUACUGGGCGUAAAGCGCGCGUAGGUGGUUCGUUAAGUUGGAUGUGAAAGCCCCGGGCUCAACCUGGGAACUGCAUCCAAAACUGGCGAGCUAGAGUACGGUAGAGGGUGGUGGAAUUUCCUGUGUAGCGGUGAAAUGCGUAGAUAUAGGAAGGAACACCAGUGGCGAAGGCGACCACCUGGACUGAUACUGACACUGAGGUGCGAAAGCGUGGGGAGCAAACAGGAUUAGAAACCCCUGUAGUCC
rnacentral:rRNA from 1 species